rnacentral:rRNA from 1 species
UGCGUAGGCGGCCUGACAAGUCAGAGGUGAAAGGCUACGGCUUAACCGUAGUAAGCCUUUGAAACUGACAGGCUUGAGUGCAGGAGAGGAAAGUGGAAUUCCUAGUGUAGCGGUGUAAUGCGUACAUAUUAGGAGGAACACCAGUGGCGAAGGCGACUUUCUGGACUGUAACUGACGCUGAGGCACGAAAGCGUGGGGAGCGAACAGGAUUAGAUACCCUGGUAGUCC